GCCCAGCUGGCGGAAUUGGUAGACGCGCUAGACUCAAACUCUAGUACUGCAAGGUGUGCCGGUUCGAUUCCGGCGCUGGGUA
rnacentral:tRNA from 1 species